GGCCACAGCCACAUCACCCUGCUACCCAAGACCGGUUACUCACUGAAGCUAAGCAGGAAUGAGCCUGGUCAGUACCUGAAUGGGAGAUCAACUAGAUUGCUGUUGGAAGUGGUGU
rnacentral:rRNA from 1 species